UUCAAUAUACCUAGCCUGAUGUGAUUUAUGCUAUAUGCAUAAUCAUUGAUUUCAGAUAGAUCCAUGAUAGGAUCUUUUGAAAAUUGUGAAAAAUGUUCUCAAAGUACUUAAGAAGUACUAAAGAGGCAGUGAAUUAAAAGAGUUUCAAGCAACAAACUAUGUUUGACUUAGUUAAUUGCUAUUAGUAAAAAUUGCUAAGAAAAGUCGCC
rnacentral:lncRNA from 1 species